rnacentral:lncRNA from 1 species
UACCCCAAGCAUUGUAACACAUUCAAGCUUUUGGCUCUUGGUGGAAUCAAGUGUUGUUUACAUUCUUAUUGAGCUUUGAUCUGAUUUCCAAGGUUGUUUAUUGUUAUAUCAUUCUGUUUGGAUUCAAUACAACACUAGUUGUAUUCCUCAAUCCAUUAGCUUCACCUUCAUCUUCAUUCUUGAUAUUUCUUGACUAGUCAUAGUUCAAACACUUAAUCAAUAGGUGUUUUGGACUAAAACAACCAACCACUGUGAUCCGGAUACGUUUUGGGAACUACAACUUGGUAUCAGAGCCUCGGUGGCUCGUUUCAGUUUUCGGUCCGGUCGGGUCUUUACCGGAAAACCGCUGGAGACGUAAAACAUUUGUAGAUCUAUGUGUGUUCAGUUAUUUUCGAUCUGGCGGGUUUGUUUAGCUGUGAAUUUAUUGUUCCCAGCGUGUUUGUUCUUUAAGAAUGGUGAAGAGACAAGCUGGUGUGGUUGAAAAUCUGGGUUAUUCACAGCAGCGAAUUUAUGCGGUUUAUGGUGAAUGCACAUGGUGUUUACGGUUAUAGAUAUCAGCGACCGAACCAGGGUUUGCAAAGAAGAAGACAUCGGGUUUGGGUUUAUAAACUUUGGCGACCAGAAGAGGUGGUCUUUAUCGGCCGAUGACGGUUGUGUCUGCCGUGUUUCCUUUUUAACUGGAAUUGGUAAACGGCCGGUCGUUAUUUUUCCGAUCAAGAGUGGUUGACGGUUUGGGUGAUGGCAGAAAAUGGUCUAUGGUAGGGAUUGGUGGGAUGAUGGUUCACGGCGGCGCAUUUUGAGCGAUGCGCAUGGUUGAUGAUCAGAAUUUAUUUCGUUGGUGAUAAUUGUUUCCGGCCGGCGAAUAAAUUCCGAUGAAGACGGCUGGUGCACAUGUUUGCAACUAGGGUUUACGUUUGUAUGGGCUUGAGUGCAUGAUGGGCCAAUGAUUGGCAUAAAAUUUUAAGCCUGAAUAUUCUUUAGGCCCACCAUGUUGGCUUGAAACAAUUUUCUUGCACAACUGUCAGAACAAUACAAGUUAUAUUUUUAUUGUUUUUCUCUGAUUGAAUGGGUGGCGGGACCCACAUGAAGACACAGCAUGGAUUAAUUUUUAUUGGGCCCACGAAUACAUCAGAUUUAUUUCAAGGUCGGGUCUUAAAGAAGUUCAUUUGUGGGCCUAGAUAUUUGAUGUAAUUUUGGGUCGGAGAGUUAAUGAUAUAUUUUUGGGCCGGGCGUACAAGAUCAUUAAAUGGGCAAAAAGAAAAUUUGGGAAGUAUAAGGGAAAUGUUGGACCAACUCUUUUUUGCAACAAUGGGGCUUUAAAGUUUUGACCGAGUUGAAUUUUUUUUAAUGAAGCUAGUUAUCCUAUUUCGAUCAUUGGAGGUUCGAGCCUUUAUCACAUGCCAAUUAUAGUAGAGAUGAUCAAUCAAGCGUAAAGCUUAUACAUAGUGGAAGUUGCUGAUUGAGUUUGAGUCUUGAAUUAAUUUGGAGGGUCUAUAUUUGCGGGGGAAAACGACAAUGAAAGAUUUGGGAUAUUUAGCCGAUUUGAGAAGAUUCAAAGACAAAGUCAGAUAUACUUUAGAAGAUCAAAUGAAGAAUUGAUAGCAUCAUUCUCGGGGGAAUAUUGUUGGGUCAAAUUGGAGAAUGAUGCUAUCAAUUACGGCAAGUUUAUUAGCGACGUUAUUGUUCGUAUGGUGUAGCGAGUUCAUUUGAUAUGUUUUGUAUGUUUUAGCGUCUUUAGGAGGUUUUCCAAGCAAGAGGUGGCUUGCUUGGAGGACAAGGCUCAAGGGGCUAUAUAUAGAUUACUACACCUCAUUUGUGAGGUGUGCAUUUUGUGAGCCACCACCCCGGGGGAGCUCACCCGGGGUGGAUUAUCUUGUAUGUUCUUAUCAAAUCAAUCAAAUAUCUAUGUUACAAUCUUCGGAUUAUUAUCGGCCAACAACUGA